UCGAUAACGAACGAGACCUUAACCUGCUAAAUAGCCAGGCCAGCCUUGGCUGGUCGCCGGCUUCUUAGAGGGACUAUCGGCUCAAGCCGAUGGAAGUUUGAGGCAAUAACAGGUCUGUGAUGCCCUUAGAUGUUCUGGGUAAGUUUGGAGAACCCUCCCAACGUUGCGCCCCGGACCUCCGCUAACUUUCGCAGGCCGCACGCGCGCUACACUGACAGAGCCAACGAGUUUAUUCCUUGGCCGGAAGGCCUGGGUAAUCUUGUUAAACUCUGUCGUGCUGGGGAUAGAGCAUUGCAAUUAUUGCUCUUCAACGAGGAAUGCCUAGUAAGCGCGUGUCAUCAGCACGCGUUGAUUACGUCCCUGCCCUUUGUACACACCGCCCGUCGCUAAUACCGAUUGAAUGGAUA
rnacentral:rRNA from 1 species